rnacentral:rRNA from 1 species
GAGUUUGUCCUGGCUCAGGAUGAACGCUGGCGGCGUGCCUAAUACAUGCAAGUCGAGCGAACAGAUAAGGAGCUUGCUCCUUUGAAGUUAGCGGCGGACGGGUGAGUAACACGUGGGUAACCUACCUAUAAGACUGGGAUAACUUCGGGAAACCGGAGCUAAUACCGGAUAACAUUUAGAACCGCAUGGUUCUAAAGUGAAAGAUGGUUUUGCUAUCACUUAUAGAUGGACCCGCGCCGUAUUAGCUAGUUGGUAAGGUAACGGCUUACCAAGGCGACGAUACGUAGCCGACCUGAGAGGGUGAUCGGCCACACUGGAACUGAGACACGGUCCAGACUCCUACGGGAGGCAGCAGUAGGGAAUCUUCCGCAAUGGGCGAAAGCCUGACGGAGCAACGCCGCGUGAGUGAUGAAGGGUUUCGGCUCGUAAAACUCUGUUAUUAGGGAAGAACAAAUGUGUAAGUAACUGUGCACAUC